CUGGCUGUACAGACUGCUGCCUUGAUGGCUGGCUAGGUCACUCUGUAAGUAAGGCUUUUCCCUAUUAAAUACCUUUAUAUUUCUACUUGGCUCCAUAUUGGUAAUUUCCCACUUUAGGGACUGUCUUUGUCUUUUCUUGGAUCUUUCUCUCAAGGUAUGUACCCUCACAUAAUUGUUAUGCUCCCAUGGUUGGCUUCCCCAGUAUGUAUACAUACACAAGCAAACAUUUCUCUGCUAACUGUUUAUGUUUGAGUCCCACACAGCCAAUGAAGACCUGCCUGACAGCAAUCCCUGGACACCCCAGAAAGAAAAUGGGCCACACCUCAUCAAUUGCACUGGAUCCAACUUGCUCCAUUUCAACUGACCCUUCUGCCAGAGCUUCAGGACUCCACAAGGAUGUUGUCAUCCCAUUUCAGCAGGAAGUAACUUGGAGAAUGCAACGUCCCCUUUCCCCCAUUGCUGUCACUCAGGAUAGUUUAUAUACCUAGUUAUGGAUAGCUUCCUAUUGUUUAUGGUUGGGAUUGGAAGGAGGUGUUCAGGCUUGGACACCUCUUUCAGAUGACUUUAGGGUUUAGUUAAAAUAGAUAGUUAGGAUGUGACAUAAGCAGGUUGUUGUAUCUUCUUAUAUUUCACCUUUAUGAUUGUUAAUUUUGGAUACUUACACUGUUAAGUUUAUUCCUCUUUUAGAAUAAAAGGGGAAUUGUAGGGGAAGCUGCCCACUUAGGGAUGUGCCUGACCAUGCCUGCGAGGGUGUGGUCAUGGUGAUGUUGAGUGAGAGUUUCAGGUGGCUGGGUUUAACUUUCAGUUUUGCCUUUCGGCUGGCUGUACAGACUGCUGCCAUGCCAGCUGGCUAGGUCGCUUUGUAAGUAAGGCUUUUCCCUAUUAAAUAGCCUUAUAUUUCUACUUGGUAAUUUCUCCAUAUUGGUAAUUUCCCACUUUACACAUCGACCCCAGAUGCUGUCUGGGAGGCCAGUACAGGACUAAUCCAGACUCCUGAACAUGGAUGUCAAUUAGGAGGCAUCUGCACUUCAGGGAGCCCCUGGUAGUGUAUUAGUACUUUCCCUGUUGUAAGAAGGGACUUUGAGAGCCCAUCCCAUGUGAAGGGAUACACCCUUGCCCUGAACACAUGGGGAAGGGCCCAGGCCCAGCCCAGGAAGACGUGUUGGACUUUGCAGAGCCUCUGUUGAGGGCCCUACCCUGCCUUAGGAGGAGAGGGAGAAGGGAUUGACAUGUGAAACAAGCUUGUUCCUAAC
ensembl:lncRNA